GGUAAAUUUUACGAGUCUUCUAAACUUGUUAAGAGAAAAAGGUUCUCGUUUACUU
rnacentral:tRNA from 1 species